CUGCGCUGAGAAAAAGCCAUGGGAGAGAAAUAAAAGCUCUGCGGGACACAUGCUGGGACGACUGGCUUCCGGGAGGCGCGUGUAGGUUGGUACCAUUGCUGCCGAUCUGGUUGGAGUAACCAAAGUCAAAAGCCGGAUGGGGAUUGGCUGCUUCUGCUGGAAUUUUACUUCCUGUUUCCAGCCGUGAGAGACUUUUGACGUAUCUUCCUGAAUAUUCAACACACAUUCUUUUAAACACACACUCCUGGACAUUGACAGUUUGGAUAACAGCCUCCUGAUUGCAAUCUGCAAACACACAUCUGUUCUGCAACACACACACACACACACACACACACACACACACACCCACACACACACACACACACACACACACACACACACACACACACACACACACACACACACACACACACACCUGCGUUCUGUGUGAAGACACACCUGAUCUGUCAGCGAUGACAUCACACAGCCACCAAGAGGGCAUCCUGGGAAAGGAGCAGCCGCUGGAGGUGCUGAAGACAUCGGCGCUCAACCACAUCCCAACAGGUUGGACA